rnacentral:rRNA from 1 species
GGACUACUGGGGUAUCUAAUCCUGUUUGAUCCCCACGCUUUCGUGCCUCAGUGUCAAUAAUUCCGUAGCGAGCUGCCUUCGCAAUGGGUGUUCUAUGUCAUAUCUAAGCAUUUCACCGCUACAUGACAUAUUCCGCUCACCUCCAGAAUAUUCAAGACAGAUAGUAUCAAUGGCAGUUUCCGAGUUAAGCCCGGAGAUUUCACCACUGACUUACCUGCCCACCUACGCACCCUUUAAACCCAGUAAAUCCGGAUAACGCUUGCACCCUCCGUAUUACCGCGGCUGCUGGCAC